GCUUACCAAGGCAAAGACGGAUAGGGGGCGUGAGAGCGUGACCCCCCACACUGGUACUGAGACACGGACCAGAUACCUGCGGGUAGCAGCAGCAAGGAAUAUUGCGCAAUCGACGAAAGUCGGACGCAGCAACACCGCGUGAAGGAUGAAGGCCUUCGGGUCGUAAACUUCUUUUCUGGGGGAAGAGAAAGGACGGUACCCCAGGAAUAAGUCUCGGCUAACUACGUGCCAGCAGCCGCGGUAAAACGUAGGAGGCGAGCGUUAUCCGGAUUUAUUGGGCGUAAAGCGCAUGCAGGCGGUUUACUAAGUCGGACGUGAAAGCUCCUGGCUCAACCAGGAGAGGCCGUUCGAAACUAGUAGACUUGAGGAUGGUAGAGGUGAGUGGAAUUCCCGGUGUAGUGGUGAAAUGCGUAGAUAUCGGGAGGAACACCAGUGGCGAAGGCGGCUCACUGGGCCAUUCCUGACGCUCAGGUGCGAAGGCUAGGGGAGAGAACGGGAUUAGAAACCCCGGUAUUCCUAGCCGUAAACGAUGUCAACUAGGCGUAGGAGGUUAUUGACCCCUUCUGUGCUGCAGCUAACGCGUUAAGUUGACCGCCUGGGGACUACGGCCGCAAGGCUAAAACUCAAAGGAAUUGACGGGGACCCGCACAAGCAGCGGAGCGUGUGGUUUAAUUCGAACUACGCGAAGAACCUUACCAGGGUUUGACAUAUACGUGGUAGAGAAGAGAAAUCGGAUCGACCCUUCGGGGAGCGUAUACAGGUGCUGCAUGGCUGUCGUCAGCUCGUGCCGUGAGGUGUUAGGUUAAGUCCUGUAACGAGCGCAACCCUCGUCGUUAGUUAUACGUGUCUAACAAGACUGCCCGUGAUAAGCGGGAGGAAGGUGGGGAUGACGUCAAGUCAGCAUGGCCUUUAUAUCCUGGGCUACACACACGCUACAAUGGCCGGUACAAUGGGUCGCGAAGCCGCGAGGUGGAGCUAAUCCUCUAAAGCCGGUCUCAGUUCGGAUUGUAGGCUGCAACUCGCCUGCAUGAAGUCGGAGUUGCUAGUAAACGUGCGUCAGCACAGCGCGUUGAAUACGUUCCCGGGUCUUGUACACACCGCCCGUCACGUCAUGGAAGUUGGCAACGCCUAAAGUCAGUGAGCUAACCCUAACGGGAGGCAGCUGCCUAAGGCGGGGUCGGUAACUGGGACGAAGUCGUAACAAGGUAGCUGUAGCGGAAGCUGCGACUG
rnacentral:rRNA from 1 species